AUACGUAGGUGGCGAGCGUUGUCCGGAAUUACUGGGUGUAAAGGGCGUGUAGGCGGGGCGUCAAGUCAGGUGUGAAAUUCCGAGGCUUAACUUCGGGUAUGCACCUGAAACUGGUGCUCUUGAGUGUCGGAGAGGAAAGUGGAAUUCCCAGUGUAGCGGUGAAAUGCGUAGAGAUUGGGAGGAACACCAGUGGCGAAGGCGGCUUUCUGGACGACAACUGACGCUGAGGCGCGAAAGCGUGGGGAGCAAACAGGAUUAGAUACCCUGGUAGUCCACGCUGUAAACGAUGGAUACUAGGUGUAGGAGGUAUCGACCCCUUCUGUGCCGGAGUUAACACAAUAAGUAUCCCACCUGGGGAGUACGGCCGCAAGGCUGAA
rnacentral:rRNA from 1 species